rnacentral:rRNA from 1 species
CGCCGUAGACACAACACCAUCCCACUCCUCUGGGAUGGAGAUACCCUCCUUUAGUCCCCGGGUGACAUUAGAGCCCACGUCGACGGGUUCUACCGGGCCUUAUUCUCCUCCGCUCCUAGGAGCGGACUAUCUCUAGCCCUCAAUUGCUGGACUGGCAACCAGCUUGUUUCCGCCGCGGAGAACGAGGCCCUCACGACCCCGUUCUCUUAGGGUGAGGUUUGGGCUGCCAUUAGUGGCAUGAACCCUACCUCGGCCCCUGGUCCGGAUGGCCUUCCGGUCAAGUUCUUCCAGUCCUUCUGGAAUGUGAUUAAGCCCGAGAUCAUGGCCAUCUUUGAUGAGUUCUAUGUUAGCUCCAUCGACCUUGGGUGCCUCAACUAUGGGAUCGUCUCGCUCAUCCCCAAAGUGUCUGGGGCUUCCGACAUCCGCCAGUUCCGACCGAUCACGGUUAUCAACGUGAUCUUCUGGAUCCUGGCUAAAGGGUACGCCAAUAGGGUGUGUUGGGGAACGUAG